GUGCUCGUUUUGAUGAUGGACAAGGAGGUGACAAUGAAGUUCAACGUACUAUGCUCGAGUUGAUUAACCAACUUGACGGAUUCGAUCCACGUGGAAACAUCAAGG
rnacentral:sRNA from 1 species